UACAGAGGGGACAAGCGUUGUUCGGAAUUACUGGGCGUAAAGGGCGCGUAGGCGGCCUUCUAAGUCGAACGUGAAAUCCCUGGGCUCAACCCAGGAACUGCGUCCGAUACUGGAAGGCUUGAAUCCGGGAGAGGGAUGCGGAAUUCCAGGUGUAGCGGUGAAAUGCGUAGAUAUCUGGAGGAACACCGGUGGCGAAGGCGGCAUCCUGGACCGGUAUUGACGCUGAGGCGCGAAAGCCAGGGGAGCAAACGGG
rnacentral:rRNA from 1 species